AUCAGAGUAGAGAAUGAAGCGUUAAGUGUCGGAUGGAUGGGAUGUUGCCUCCGAACGAAAAGUAAAGGGAGACCUUUAUUUGCGGUUUUGUUCUUGCAUUCGCUGCA
rfam:Jeotgalibaca sp. PTS2502, complete genome.